GAUGAACGCUGGCGGCGUGCCUAAUACAUGCAAGUCGAGCGAACAGACGAGGAGCUUGCUCCUCUGACGUUAGCGGCGGACGGGUGAGUAACACGUGGAUAACCUACCUAUAAGACUGGGAUAACUUCGGGAAACCGGAGCUAAUACCGGAUAAUAUAUUGAACCGCAUGGUUCAAUAGUGAAAGACGGUUUUGCUGUCACUUAUAGAUGGAUCCGCGCCGCAUUAGCUAGUUGGUAAGGUAACGGCUUACCAAGGCAACGAUGCGUAGCCGACCUGAGAGGGUGAUCGGCCAAACUGGAACUGAGACACGGUCCAGACCCCUACGGGAGGCAGCAGUAGGGAAUCUUCCGAAAUGGGCGAAAGCCUGACGGAGCAACGCCGCGUGAGUGAUGAAGGUCUUCGGAUCGUAAAACUCUGUUAUUAGGGAAGAACAAAUGUGUAAGUAACUAUGCACGUCUUGACGGUACCUAAUCAGAAAGCCACGGCUAACUACGU
rnacentral:rRNA from 1 species